rnacentral:rRNA from 1 species
GAUGAACGCUGGCGGCGUGCCUAAUACAUGCAAGUCGAGCGAACAGAUGAGGAGCUUGCUCCUCUGACGUUAGCGGCGGACGGGUGAGUAACACGUGGAUAACCUACCUAUAAGACUGGGAUAACUUCGGGAAACCGGAGCUAAUACCGGAUAAUAUAUUGAACCGCAUGGUUCAAUAGUGAAAGACGGUUUUGCUGUCACUUAUAGAUGGAUCCGCGCCGCAUUAGCUAGUUGGUAAGGUAACGGCUUACCAAGGCAACGAUGCGUAGCCGACCUGAGAGGGUGAUCGGCCACACUGGAACGGAGACACGGUCCAGACUCCUACGGGAGGCAGCAGUAGGGAAUCGUCCGCAAGGGGCGAAAGCCUGACGGAGCAACGCCGCGUGAGUGAUGAAGGUCUUCGGAUCGUAAAACUCUGUUAUUAGGGAAGAACAAAUGUGUAAGUAACUAUGCACGUCUUGACGGUACCUAAUCAGAAAGCCACGGCUAACUACGUG